rnacentral:rRNA from 1 species
UACGUAGGGGGCGAGCGUUGCCCGGAGUUACUGGGCGUAAAGCGCACGCAGGCGGUCUGUGAAGUUUGGAGUGACAGUUGGUGGCUCAACCACCAAAGUGCUUUGAAAACUGACAGACUUGAGGGCUUCAGAGGGACACGGAAUUCCGGGUGGAGUGGUGAAAUGCGUAGAGAUCCGGAGGAACACCAAAGGCGAAGGCAGUGUCCUGGGGAGUACCUGACGCUCAGGUGCGAAAGCCAGGGGAGCGAACGGG